rnacentral:rRNA from 1 species
UACAGAGGUCUCAAGCGUUGUUCGGAUUCAUUGGGCGUAAAGGGUGCGUAGGCGGCGCGGUAAGUCGGGUGUGAAAUCUCGGAGCUUAACUCCGAAACUGCAUUCGAUACUGCCGUGCUUGAGGACUGGAGAGGAGACUGGAAUUUACGGUGUAGCGGUGAAAUGCGUAGAUAUCGUAAGGAAGACCAGUGGCGAAGGCGGGCCUCUGGACAGUUCCUGACGCUGAGGCACGAAGGUCAGGGGGAGCAAAACGGG